AUAAUCAUUAGACUUUUAAUUGAAGGCUGGAAUGAAUGGUUGGACAAAAAAUAAGCUGUCUCAGUUAUAAUUAUUGAAUUUAACUUUUAAGUGAAAAGGCUUAAAUAGUCUAAGGGGACGAUAAGACCCUAUAAAGCUUUACGAUUUGUUUAUUAAAUCAAAAAUUGUAAGUAUAAAUUUUAUUUAAUAGACAUUUGUUUCGUUGGGGCGACGAGAAUAAAAUUUAGUAACUGUUCUUUUAGAGUAUAACAAUUAUAAUUGAAGGAAAAUUGAUCCCUUAUUAAGGAUUAAAAAUUUAAGUUACUUUAGGGAUAACAGCGUAAUCUUUUUUGAGAGUCCAUAUCGACAAAAAGGGU
rnacentral:rRNA from 1 species